GACGAACGCUGGCGGCGUGCUUAACACAUGCAAGUCGAACGGGCUCUGUCUGGCUGUGUGCUGGGUGGGGUUAGUGGCGAACGGGUGAGUAAUACGUGAGUAACCUGCCCUCUUCUUUGGGAUAAGCCUUGGAAACGGGGUCUAAUACUGGAUAUUCCUGUCUGGUCGCAUGGCUGGGUGGGGAAAGUUUUUUUCGGUGGGGGAUGGGCUCGCGGCCUAUCAGCUUGUUGGUGGGGUGAUGGCCUACCAAGGCGUCGACGGGUAGCCGGCCUGAGAGGGUGACCGGCCACACUGGGACUGGGAUACGGCCCAGACUCCUACGGGAGGCAGCAGUGGGGGAUAUUGCACAAUGGGCGCAAGCCUGAUGCAGCGACGCCGCGUGGGGGAUGACGGCUUUCGGGUUGUAAACCUCUUUCGUCGGGGGACAAGGCUCUGCUUGGUGGUGGGGUUGAGGGUACCCGGUGAAGAAGCGCCGGCUAACUACGUG
rnacentral:rRNA from 1 species